UAAGGGCGCACGGUGGAUGCCUUGGCACUAGAAGCCGAUGAAGGACGUUACUAACGACGAUAUGCUUUGGGGAGCUGUAAGUAAGCUUUGAUCCAGAGAUUUCCGAAUGGGGAAACCCAGCAUGAGUUAUGUCAUGUUAUCGAUAUGUGAAUACAUAGCAUAUCAGAAGGCACACCCGGAGAACUGAAACAUCUUAGUACCCGGAGGAAGAGAAAGAAAAUUCGAUUCCCUUAGUAGCGGCGAGCGAAACGGGAAGAGCCCAAACCAACAAGCUUGCUUGUUGGGGUUGUAGGACACUCUAUACGGAGUUACAAAGGACGACAUUAGACGAAUCAUCUGGAAAGAUGAAUCAAAGAAGGUAAUAAUCCUGUAGUCGAAAAUGUUGUCUCUCUUGAGUGGAUCCUGAGUACGACGGAGCACGUGAAAUUCCGUCGGAAUCUGGGAGGACCAUCUCCUAAGGCUAAAUACUCUCUAGUGACCGAUAGUGAACCAGUACCGUGAGGGAAAGGUGAAAAGCACCCCGGAAGGGGAGUGAAAUAGAACCUGAAACCGUGUGCUUACAAGUAGUCAGAGCCCGUUAAUGGGUGAUGGCGUGCCUUUUGUAGAAUGAACCGGCGAGUUACGAUUUGAUGCAAGGUUAAGCAGUAAAUGUGGAGCCGUAGCGAAAGCGAGUCUGAAUAGGGCGUUUAGUAUUUGGUCGUAGACCCGAAACCAGGUGAUCUACCCUUGGUCAGGUUGAAGUUCAGGUAA
rnacentral:rRNA from 1 species